rnacentral:misc_RNA from 1 species
GAUGAAGAACGCAGCGAAAUGCGAUAAGUAAUGUGAAUUGCAGAAUUCAGUGAAUCAUCGAAUCUUUGAACGCACAUUGCGCCCGCCAGUAUUCUGGCGGGCAUGCCUGUUCGAGCGUCAUUACAACCCUCAGGCCCCCGGGCCUGGCGUUGGGGAUCGGCGGAGCCCCCCGUGGGCACACGCCGUCCCCCAAAUGCAGUGGCGGUCCAGCCGCAGCUUCCAUCGCGUAGUAGCUAACACCUCGCGACUGGAGAGCGGCGCGGCCACGCCGUAAAACACCCAACUCUUCUGAAGUUGACCUCGAAUCAGGUAGGAAUACCCGCUGAACUUAAGCAUAUCAAUAAGCGGAGGA